AGCUCUAAUAGCGUAUAUUAAAGUUGUUGCGGUUAAAAAGCUCGUAGUUGGAUUUUGGGGCUUGGCCAUCGGUCCGGUGCAAGCCGCGCACUGAUGGCUGGGCUCUUCUGUCUGGGUGCCACCUUGGGGUGCUUCACUGUGCCACUUGGGGUCUCAGACCUUCACUUUGAACAAAUUAGAGUGUUUAAAGCAGGCUUACGCCUUGAAUACAUUAGCAUGGAAUGAACAUAUAGGACUUGGGUUCUAUUUUGUUGGUUUUAAGGACCAAAGUAAUGAUUAAUAGGGAUAGUUGGGGGCAUUAAUAUUUAAUUGUCAGAGGUGAAAUUCUUAGAUUUAUGAAAGAUUAACUUCUGCGAAAGCAUUUGCCAAGGAUGUUUUCAUUAAUCAAGAACGAAAGUAC
rnacentral:rRNA from 1 species